rnacentral:rRNA from 1 species
UACAGAGGGUGCGAGCGUUGUUCGGAAUUACUGGGCGUAAAGCGCGCGCAGGCGGCUUUCUAAGUCUGUCGGUCAAAUGCCGGGGCUCAACCCCGAGCGUGCCGAGGAUACUGGGAGGCUGGAGACACGGAGAGGGUGGUGGAAUUCCCAGUGUAGAGGUGAAAUUCGUAGAUAUUGGGAGGAACACCGGUGGCGAAGGCGACCACCUGGACGGAAACUGACGCUGAGGCGCGAAAGCGUGGGUAGCAAACAGG